rnacentral:lncRNA from 1 species
UUUAAUGGAUAGCAAAAUCUAUUUCGAUUACUUAUUGUAAUCUCAUCUUGAUAUAUCACCAAGGUGACCGGAUCAUGUACACAACUUGAUCACUUUAUUUCAUCUCAGCACACCUCAAAAUGUCUAAGACGAUUGUUCGUGUGAGUGAACCAAUCUCAACCUAUUCGAUAUACUUUAUACGUACAUGCCAUUCAUUAUCUCGUAAUCUCAAUAUUAGAUUACACAUGAACUCAAACACUUUCAUCUA